CCUGGCUCAGAAUCAACGCUGNCGGCGUGCCUAACACAUGCAAGUCGAACGCGACUUAGACUUCGGUCUAAGUUGAGUGGCGAACGGGUGAGUAACACGUGGGUGACCUACCUUCGAGUGGGGGAUAACGUCCCGAAAGGGACGCUAAUACCGCAUAACAUCCUGCCUUUGAACAGGUGGAGAUCAAAGCCGGGGAUCGCAAGACCUGGCGCUCGAUGAGGGGCCCGCGCCUGAUUAGCUAGUUGGUGGGGUAAUGGCUCACCAAGGCGACGAUCAGUAUCCGGCCUGAGAGGGCGGACGGACACACUGGGACUGAGACACGGCCCAGACUCCUACGGGAGGCAGCAGUGGGGAAUUGUUCGCAAUGGGCGCAAGCCAAACGACGCAACGCCGCGUGGAGGAUGAAGGUCUAANGGAUUGUAAACUCCUGUUGCUCGGGACGAAAAGCUUCGACCUAAU
rnacentral:rRNA from 1 species